rnacentral:miRNA from 1 species
AGAGAGAUCAUUGGACUUACAG